rnacentral:rRNA from 1 species
GAUGAACGCUGGCGGCGUGCCUAACACAUGCAAGUCGAACGGUAGCAGGUCUAGUUUACUAGAUGCUGACGAGUGGCGGACGGCUGAGUAACGCGUGGGAACGUGCCCUAAAGUGAGAGAUAACGCACCGAAAGGUGUGCUAAUACCGCAUAAGACCACGACCCGACAUCGGGAUGAGGUCAAAGGAGAAAUCCGCUAAAGGAGGGGCUCGCGUCCCAUUAGAUAGAUGGCGGGGUAACGGCCCACCAUGUCGACGAUGGGUAGCCGAGCUGAGAGGCUGAUCGGCCACACUGGAACUGAGACACGGACCAGACUCCUACGGGAGGCAGCAGUGGGGAAUAUUGGGCAAUGGGCGCAAGCCUGACCCAGCAACGCCGCGUGAGGGAAGAAGGUCUUCGGAUUGUAAACCUCUGUCCUUGGUGACGAAACAAAUGACGGUAGCCAAGGAGGAAGCCCCGGCUAACUACGUGCCAGCCGCCGCUGUAA